GUGAAACUUAUAAAGGGUGUCCCAAUCGAGAGCUUCUCACAUUACAUCGCUAAAGCCUCUUAGGUUUGGAGCAUCAGGUUUUCAAUAAACUAAAGCAUGGACAACUUUAGUGCUGACAACCUUUUAAAACUCUUCACUCAAUAUGCUAUAAAAGAAGGUAGUUCUAGUUUUCUUUCAACUGCAGGACUUCAAAGUUUGCUUCGGGAUAACUUCACAAACUUUUUGAGUUCAAUGUCUUUCAAUGACAUUGUCAAAUAUGCAGACAUAGAUAAAGAUGGAAAAAUCAACUUUAAUGAUUUUAAGUCACUGAUGAGCAAGUUAAGUAGCUUGGUUGGAUUAUCUACUUUGACUGGACUAACCGGGUUUGGAUCAUAAACCAUCCUAUGAAGAGGACGAAGACAAAGAAAACAUGUGAGAUUCCAAAUCUACCCAAUUAUGGACUCUGAAAAUGGUUGUGUUUCUACAAACCAUCUCUGUGAAAAGAUGGGUGACAGUCAAUAAAUAUCAAUUUUGAUUUAAAAUAAUUCAUAUAUGAUGACUGGUAAAAUGAAUAAAUAUUUUUUCCAGGUAAUUUAAGAGUGAAUUUAAAAUAUUUACAGAAAUUUAUCUUAUUGGAGGAAUUCCAUGUAUCUUUACAUUAUGUAUUAUAUGUUAUUUCCAAAUGAGACUUUUAAGCAGCUUAUGGGUAGCUGAGGUCUGAUGUGGCAGAAUAGCUAAGUGUCUGUG